AAAAAUAUGUAAGUAUGUAAAACAGUGUUCCCGUAAAAAAAUCUAAAACCCGUAUUUCUGAUGCUGGUAACUCGUAAAUCAAGAAGUGACAGGUGGCAACC